rnacentral:sRNA from 1 species
UUCUUCUCUCCGUCUCUCUCACAA